CUUGUUUUUUUUUGUGUCAUCUUUCAAACUGAAAGCAGGAAAAUCCACCAAAAUGGAGAGCUGUGAAGCAUACCAGCAUAUUCAAGAGUCCAACUGCAUGUUGAGUACAAUAAAUGUGUACAUGUUGACAGGUAUGCACCUAACAUUGAAAGUACUUCCUAUCUCUCACCGCUGACAGUUUACUGCACCCCCUGAGGGGGCCCGCCCCGCUAUUUGAGAAGCACAAACAGUCACGUGACAGGUGUGUGUAUUGUAACGUUUUCUUCUGUGAAUGGUCAUGUUACCUGUAUCCUGAUGAAUCGGGGGCGUGCGUAGGUGGGUAGAUAGGUGACCAGCAGCGUGUAGGCUUCGUCACAGUCAAAGUCUUGGCCUUCUUUCAAAGUGACUGCCGCCAUGCCCACCCGUCCUUCGUUCCCUAGCGGAGCAUUCCAGGCAGGAACUUUUUCAACUCUGCUACGUGUUUAUCGGUUCUACUACGCUGUCAGCGAUGGUAAUACCUUCCACUUUAACGCCGUACACGUUUGCCUCUAAAAUGCAAUGAGCCAUUGUGAGGAUGUCUGCUACCUCCGAUGUGGCCACGUUUUCUCCUUUCCACCUGUUGAGAGAAAGAGCAAGAGGUGGGGUACACCCUGAACUGGUCAACAGCCAAUGAUCACAUCAUCGACGGGCGUCGUAACGUAGCUUACUUAGCUUACUUAGUUUCCGGUUGCCAUUUUGCUUAGCUAGCUAAUAGGAUGCUAACAAGAAAGAACGUUUUGUGAUAAAAAAAAACAAAACAUUAAAAACACGUUUAGACUCUCAAAGUGUAUUAACAACAUGAUAAGACGUGCGCCAUAUUGUACACUAACCGGAGAAUGGAUGCAAAUGGGGCAAAAUUGUGACAUCAAUUUUCGACGUUAACUAAAAAACACGCUAACCGAGGCUCCACUGUACAGUGUGUACUGUACAGUGUGUACAGUGGAACCUCCGUCGAACGUCCCAAAAGAGGUGCAAGUUGAGAGUACAAAAGUGUACAAGAGUAGCUCCACAAGUGUGUGUUGGCCUGUUUUGUGAAGGGUAUCAGUGAUGGCAAGAGAUGUGUGAUGAUAACCAUAGAACCAGUAAUUGAAAACACUCAAAAAACACAAAAAUGACCAAUACAAUCAUUCAAUGUCAAUUACCUACAAAGACUAAACAAAUGCUAACAUAAACAUACACUUAUUGUACACUGCACAACACAUGUCAAUUCAAGCUACAUCUACAGUAUAACAGUCUCACCCUGCAAACGUCUUCCCGUUCCCUCUGCAUUAUGUGUCUGUCUUCAGAGGGUGAGUAGUUUCACUUUAUUUUCGUUUUAUUGUACAGUGGUUAACUCCUCUUUAUGCAUACAUGAUAUUUAGGAAUGUUAAAAUGUUACUUAGCAACAUUGUCUGUACAGUUAAUAAAGGUGUUAUGAUGGCAACAGAUGAAUUCAACACAGUAUACAAUAUUUCCAAUGGCAACAUUGCAUUGAAAACAAAACAAAAUGGGCAGAUUGUGUCCAAUUUUGGAGGUUCCACUGUAUUUUCUAUUUAUUUUCACAUAUGCAUUGUAGAGUUGCAACAAUUAAUCACUGAUUAAUCGAUUAUCCAAUUAAUCAACAGCUAUUUUAGUAUUCCAUGAAUCAUUUUCAUAUAAAAAUGUAAAUGCCGAUUUCUGAUUUCAACCAUUCAACCACCCGAGUCACCCAUGAAAGCAGAUUGAUUAUCUUUGUGUUUUAGGCCAGACAAGAUAUUCACACACAUCGGCUUUGACUUUGGAAGACAGCGAUGGACAUUUUUUUCUCUUUUCUGAUAUGUUGCAGACGGUUUGUGAUUGGUGCAUACUGAUUUGUUCCAUCUACGGGGCCUAACCGAUUACUCGAUUAAUCGAAACAACACGCUUCAGACUAGUCGAGGAAGAAAAUAAUUGUUAGUUGCAGCCCUCAUGCUUCGCAUGGUCAAUAUGAGAAAUGGUUGUGUACAAAGCUCAUGAUGCUGACAUUCUAACAAUGCUAAAGUCAAGUUAUCCAUUAGCUUACCUGAAUGUGUCGCCGACUCUGUCUUGAAAAUAAACAAAGUUGUCUUCGUCAAAGCGAAGCAAAUCUCCCGUGUUGAAGUACAAGUCGCCCUUCUUCAUCACGUCGCGGAGCUUCUUCUUCUCCGUCUGCUGCUCGUUGCCUGCGUAGCCCACAAAGGGUGACCUCUGGGUGACCUUUCCCACCAGGAGACCCGUCUCACCUGACACAGAGAUGCAUAACUGAAGAGAAGAUUCUGACCCCUGUGUUACGUGUUGUGUCACCUUUGGCCGCCUUGAUGCAAAGACCCUGGGAGUUUCUGACAGGCUCCUCCUUCUCGAUGUCGAACUUGAUCAGCGUGUAUGGGAAGAUGAACUGGAAAGAGAGCGUCAUGGCGGAGAUGAACAAUCAGAACCAUGGAAGGGUGAGGUCUUCCGUAGGAGGAGGACAGACGCUGACCUCGGGCAUGUUGCAGAGGUACCGCAUGGUUUCGCCAAUAUACUGCAUCACUGUCACAUUAUACUUCCUGCAGUCGUCCCAGAACUGAGUGGCAGAGAACUUUCUCUUCAAAACGAUCGUUGUACCUGCAGCCAACAUCACACGUUUUAAAAGCCCCAAGCAGGAUGAGGCUUGGGGGUUAUUUAAAAAGGUCGCUACCUCUCUGGAUGGCACCCGCUAGCCCGAUGAGGAAGCCUGAGCUGUGGUAGAGAGGUAGAUUGAUGUAGAUGACGUCAUCGGCUGUGACGCCACACGCUCCUUGGAUGAAGGACGCAGCCCACAUGCGCUCUUGGGUGACCACCGCCGCUUUGGGCAAACCUGUUAAGGACAGAAAAAGAAAGUUUUUACACAGCAGCUAAUGGUGCUUUUCCACCGCACAGUACCGGCUCUACUCGGUUUGGUCACACUAUCCUGUGUCGUGGGAUUAACACCGCCGCCACGAGUUUGUUUAUUCACGCACAUUUUUACGUGCCGUGAAAGAACGUCAAGACCUUCAGGGUAGUGCAGUCUAUUUGUGCUUCACUUUAUGGUUAACAGCUAGCGGCCCGGAUGCUAAUGUGAAGCUAACAGACUUCAGGGCAGUCAAAGCAGACAAAAGGCGCAAAGGAGGUGGGCUUGCACUGUCUGAGCACUGUAUGUAUGUGAACAAACUAUGGUGUCAUCCUGGCCAUGUGAACAUUCCAAUAUCCACCUAUACAGCAUUUUUUUUUUUAAACGCUUUUCAUUAUCGCGGAAAAAAACCGAUAUCUACCGAUGUCACAUUUUUAUGCCAAUAUGUGGCCGAUAAUAUUGUGAGCCGAUACUAUCGAACAUCCCUACUAAUUAUAGAUUAAAAACGUCUUUCUAUCUGCAAUUGAUUGCGAUCAUGAGUUAACUAUGGAUACAAAUGAGAUUAAUUACAAUUAAAUAUUUCAUGGAUUGACAGGCCUAAUUAAAAUGCAUUUCAAAUUGCAUGUAAAACUAUAAUUGUCAAACUAUAAAAACGUUUACAUUUUUGGCUUUCUUAUUUCCAUGAUUUCUUUUGGGAAAAAUGUAUUCGGUUAGAGUACGUUAAUCACGUCCUUCUGAAACAGAUUACCGGUAAUGACGAUGACUGACUUUUCACUGUAAUAAUAACUAAUAACACAAAGCUUUGUCUUUAAAUAUAUGUAACUUUUUUUUUUUUAUCCUUUUUACAACACCAAAAAGUAUAUAUAAAAAUAUCACAGUGGUCUCCUGUAUCUAUGAUUUUUCAGUAUGCAGCCCACUUUCUGGCCUGGCAUGCUUGCAGGCUCAAGUGCCUGAACAGGGAUUAUUAGCACCUGAAACGUUUGACUAUGUCCUGCAAAUGUAACGUUGAUUUCAAGAUCAAAGGUUGACGUUGUCUUGCACCAGGCACCUCAUCUCAACUGAACUUCAUCUUCAGGAAUGUGUUAUGGGCUUGAUUUUGUAUAUUCAAGCUAGAAAUGGAGUGACUUGUUUCUAAGCUGUCAUUUCCAAAUGAAACCAGUUUGAAGCAUGUUUUGAUUGCAAUCCAUCUGUUCAAACUGUCUUCUUACCACAGAAAAGCUCGUCAUUUGUAACUUAUGAACCAUUCAUGAGAACAUCAGGGUUGCCAGGUUGAGAGAAAUCCUCCUUCUAGCAUGAAAAAGGCUUUGUUUCUGUCACUAGAAAAGAGCUCUUUGUCAUUCAUGCCGAACAGCGGGACAGGCAUAUCACUACUGUAGUAACACCAUGAUAUCAUUUUAGUGCAAGCACUACACUUAUCUCAUGAGAUUAGAGGAAGUGGUCUUUGUCCUUUACCUGUGGUUCCUGACGUGUAGAUGUAGAGAGCAGUGCUCCUGAUCUUGACAUUGGCUCUGAGGUCCCGAGACACUGGCUGGUCUGAGGCCUUGGAGAUCUCAUCAGCCAAAACGCUGACUCCCUGGACGUGACAUGUCCCUGACAGGAGGUACACCCUGACCCCCUGCGCUCUGAGUGCAGGUAGCACUUCCUCCACAGCGCCCUGCAGCUCUGCAAACACAUUCACGGCAUGAAGUUCUCACGUUGCAGCACAUUUGGAUGACCUGUGUCAAGUUGCCUCGAAUCCCACUGGGACACGAGCAAAUGGGGCGCCCCCUCAAGCCAGUCGGGAGUAGCGAUACCAUCACUGGAGCACUGAAUGUGGUUUUACCGCACAUGAACUUUCCAGGAAGGAACAGUUCCUUCCUGGAAACACAAGUCCUGUCCAACAGACUUGUUGGUUUGUUUAGAUUUUUUGGCCAGAAAACUGCUCAUUUCACGACAUCAGUUCAUUUUUAAUAUGUAAAACAGGAAAUAAAUAAGCAAAAUAUAGUCAACUGUCUAAAAAAGAGAUUACAAAAGAAUCAAAAUUAGAUCUAAUUAAUAAGAACAAAUUGGUGUCAGACAAAUUUAAUUCGUUCUUUAGAAAUGAAUAGUAGUCAACUACUUACAAUAAUUAGUCCUAUUUAUAUCGCGUUAUAAUUUUACCAUUUUUAUUACCAUUUUUAUUACAAAAAUGUAUUACAACAGGUUUUUCUAUUACAAAAGUAUCAUCAUAACAAGAAUUAUACUUGGGCAAUACAUUUUGCCUUUGAAACCUUUCUAAUAUACAUUCACCUCAUAUUUACAUGUUUAUCAUGCAGUAAAGCCACAAAUAUAUUAUUAGUAAUUUUGCCUUUUAGUCUGCAGGUGUAGUGUAGUAUAAGUAUUUAGAGCAAGUACAACAAUAAUAAUAACUGACAUACGCCAUAUUUAACAGCUUAGCAUAUGACCUACCCUUGGAGGGGUUUUAGCGUCAUUCCUAAAAUAAUGAAAGUGCAUAAUAAGUGACCCCCGUGUUCUUUAAUUUUUCUGCAUGUGUUUGGACAUCCCCGACUUAAACAAAAUCUCCCAUCCUGGCCCCCCCCGGAGGCUAUCCCUGUGUGAUCUUACCUGCAGAGGUCACCAGCACUUUGGCCCCACAGCAGGAGAAACAGUGCAGCAGAGAUUUGGACCUGAUGUUAAAGUUGAGCAGAGCAACCGGACAGCCCAGUUUGGCGAGUCCCAGCCAGGUCCACACAAAGUCCGGCUCGUUGGCCAAAAAGAGGGCUACCGGUUCUCCCUCCUUGAGCCUGGCCUCCUCCUGGAAGACCCGGGCCACCUUGUUGCUCUGCUUGUCCACCUCUCCAUAGGAGAACUGUUGUCCCUCAAAGUGCAAGAAGGUCUUAGAGGGAUGUCUCCUGGCCGCGUCCAAGAAGCCGUCCACGAUGCUGUGGAAAGGUUUUCUCGUCUUGUACUUGUGAAGUGUAAUGGCGAAGCGGACACUCCUGAGGAUGUACACGCUGUCGUCCACCAAGUACGGGAAGAGUGACCUGAGGAUGGGGGCGCACAGGAGCAGCAGUCCGCCUAAAGCUGUCAGCCACAUGUACAUUGUCAAGCACCUCCAAUGGAGACAACCACGACUAAAGUGUGGAGGAGCUAAGGAUAUGUGACAAGGUUCACAUAGGCUCAACCCCUCCCACAUUCCCUGUGUUUUCAAGUUGCCAGAUUGCUUUCCACUCCCACUCGGGACUCACUUUUAGGCGUUAUGUUGCAUUCUCCAUCCUCAUCUCACGCUUGCAGUAUGCUUACGAUUUUCCUACCAACUAGAUACAUAGUUGUGGAAAAUAUGAAUUAUUUUCUGACAUAACCCGAAACAAUAUUGACAAAGAAUCUGAAUUACUUUUGAGUGCUUAUUAAUAAUCAGUUUAAAUUACAUUGUUUAUCACAUUUGGUGAGAUAAACACGGCAUUCCCCUCUCAUGUAUUCAUAUAUUGCAUUACAUGUUGUAGUGUCAUAAAUACACAACAUUCAUGUGGUAUAAGUGUGCAGAAAUCAGAGCAGCAAGAGGAGGAGCAUCAGGUUGAAACUGAGCCUUGUUUGUCUGGUGAUUUUUGGAGGGAGGGUGGAAACACACACACACACACACACACACACGCACACACACACAUUGGCUGACCAGUUGCACAAUGUAUCCAUUAGAAGAGCUGUUGGCUUCCAUUUUUAACAUACAUAUAAAAAAGAAGUGCAAUAAAACAAAAGAAAUACAUUAGAGCUGUCAAUUGAUUAAAAUAUUUAAUCGGGAUUAACUGCAUUUUGUCCAUAGUUAACUCAUAAUUAUGGCAAUUAAGCGCAGUUAGAAAGAGGUUUUUAUCAAUAAUAAGUUGGGAUGUAAAUCUCAUUGUGGUAGAUGCUUUGAUAUGAUAGGAUUAAGAUAGGAUUCCAAAACGAUAUAUUUAAAAAAAGAAACGAUUCGAUACAGUGUACAAACAAUACGAUUCAAUUCGAUACAAUUCUAUGGUUACAUUCGUUGAUGUAAACAUUAAAUUUACAUUAUAAAAUAAAGAAGUCAAUUCUAUAAAUGUGGCAUUCUUACAUCCAUCCAUCCAUUUUCCUCCGCUUAUCCCUGUCCGGGUCGCGGGGGCAGCAGUCUCAGUAGGGAAGCCCAGACGUCCCGGUCCCCGGCCACCUCCUCCAGCUCCACCGGGAGGACACCAAGGCGUUCCCAGGCCAGCUGUGAGACAUAAUCCCUUCCAGCGUGUCCCAGGUCUGCCUCAGGGUCUUCUCCCGGCUGGGCAUGCCCGGAACACCUCACCAGGGAUGCAUCCGGGAGGCAUCCCGACUAGAUGCCCGGGCCACCUCAACUGGCUCCUCUCGAUGUGAAGGAGUAGUGGCUCUACUCUGAGCCCCUCCCUGAUGACCAAGCUCCUCACCCUAUCUCUUAGGGUGAGUACAGCUACCCUACGGAGGAAACUCAUUUCAGCUUGUAUCCGCAAUCUCGUUCUUUCAGUCACAACCCAGAGCUCAUGACCAUAGGUGAGGGUGGGAACAUACUGUAGAUCGACUGGUAAAUUCAGAGUUUUGCCUUCCAGCUCAGCUCUCUCUUCACCACGACGGUCCGGUACAGUGACCGCAUUACAGCAGACGCUGCGCCAAUCCGCUUAUCGACCUCGUGCUCCAACCUUCCCUCACUCGUGAACAAGACCUCGAGAUACUUGAACUCCUCCACCUGGGGCAGGACCUCACUCCCAACCCGGUCCAAUCCACCCUUUUCCGACUGAGAACCGUGGCCUCAGAUUUGGAGAUGCUGAGUCUCAUCCCAGAAGCUUCACACUCAGAUGCAAACUGCCCCAAUAAACGCUGAAGGUCACAGCCCAAUGUGUCGGUCGCCCGAAGUCAGCUGGGAUAGGCUCCAGCAUGCCCCCGCGACCCUAAUGAGGAGAAGCGGCAUAGAAAAUGAAUGGAUGGAAGUUAUAAGUGAAAAUGGUCUAGCUCUUUCUAAGAAACAUAUAACAUAUAUAUAAAAUCUAACCGGUACACGUUGAAAUGCUAUUUUAAAUAUUAAUGAUUCACAUUUUUGUCCUGUGUUAUCAUCACACUCUUCCUCCUCUGUGGAAAAGACAUAGAAAAAGCAAAACGCACAGUCAGUCUUUUGGAUGCUCACAAGAUUUGCUGGCAGCACGCAUGAUGAUGUUUGAAGUCACAUGUUUUGUUUGACUUUUGAGCCAUAUUUUUCCACACUAUUUUUUGCUUGACCCAAAUUGUACCAUUCUUAGGGGGUUAUGGGAGGAUCCACUAUAUUUUACUCGUUGACCAGUAUAACAUCAUCAUUAAUUACACGCAAAGCAUGUGUACUUUCUGACUUUCAUUCAAUAGUCACACUUGUGCCACUUUGUCAAGGUUUUCCAGUCAGUUUAGUAAAAAAAAAAAAAAAGGCUCCUAUUAUGCAAAAUGGACAGUUGUAACGUAAUAUGCGUCUGUAGAGCCUCUUUAUGGGCAGCAAACAAGAGAAAAAUCUCCCUCGUUUCUGAGAAAAGAGGCACUCAAAAGGUUACUUUAGAAGUUUGGUAUUUGAAAGAAAAACCUUUCUUACGGACGUGAUACCACCUCUGAACAACCUGUAUAUCCGCCUGUCCACCAUUUCACUGAAGAAAGUUCUGUAAAACAAGCAAGCUUCACUACACAUCUUAAAAAAGUGCCAACCAAAGACCUUUAACUGUCUUCUGGAUGACACUGAUUCUAAAAAAAAGUCAUUACAUCAUCAAACUUGAAAAAAAGAUACAUUUACAGAUAAAAGGGCUAAAAUAGGAAUUUAUUUAGACGUACUUUAGUUACUUUUAUGGUUAAUUAAUUAUUUUUAGACAGUUUGAGUCCCUGUGGCAUCAGAAGAACCAGGAAGUAGCCUGACUCACAAACACAAUAACACCGUCACCAUCACGCGGCCUCAUUCACAAGCUAUUUUAGGCAAACAGGAAGGGUCUACUGUAUUUGAAAGUGAGUGGUGCCGAAGAUUCCACAAAGUGCAGGAGAUUGCGUGAAGUGGGAGACAUCUUAUUGAAAUAAUACAUUCUCAUUAGUAGGGAUUAUUGUUUCAUUUUUCAGCCUAUAGUAAUAUCCCAAGAACACACUCACAACCACAUAGACACUUUGAAGCACAAUAUUCGUCACCUUGGUGUUAGCGGACUCUUUCGGUCACAGUGACUUGCCACAAACACAACGCGUGAGUAUGUGGGGAAUCACAACACAACACUGGAAGCUAGAAAAUAUUUCGGUCAAGGUGGCAACAUUUGCGUCAUAAGCAUGGGUCGCAAUUUGAUGGCGGUGACGGAAGCUUUCAAGGUGCUUGAAAAUGCAGACACAAACCAACAUUUGCAGUAUUUUUAGAGCAACUGCUGCUGUUCUUACUCUCCGUUUGCUGCCUACGGAUGGUCAAAAAUGUAAUUUUUGUACACAUCAAACACACACAGACACACACAUUUUCAAUGUAUUGUUUUUUAUGUGUUUUGGGCAUUUGUAGGUUUUUGGCCUUAAAAAUGGAGCU